rnacentral:rRNA from 1 species
GACGAACGCUGGCGGCGUGCCUAAUACAUGCAAGUAGAACGCUGAAGAGAGGAGCUUGCUCUUCUUGGAUGAGUUGCGAACGGGUGAGUAACGCGUAGGUAACCUGCCUUGUAGCGGGGGAUAACUAUUGGAAACGAUAGCUAAUACCGCAUAACAAUGGAUGACACAUGUCAUUUAUUUGAAAGGGGCAAUUGCUCCACUACAAGAUGGACCUGCGUUGUAUUAGCUAGUAGGUGAGGUAAUGGCUCACCUAGGCGACGAUACAUAGCCGACCUGAGAGGGUGAUCGGCCACACUGGGACUGAGACACGGCCCAGACUCCUACGGGAGGCAGCAGUAGGGAAUCUUCGGCAAUGGGGGCAACCCUGACCGAGCAACGCCGCGUGAGUGAAGAAGGUUUUCGGAUCGUAAAGCUCUGUUGUAAGUCAAGAAAGGGUGUGAGAGUGGAAAGUUCACACUGUGACGGUAGCUUACCAGAAAGGGACGGCUAACUACGUG